rnacentral:rRNA from 1 species
AGAGUUUGAUCAUGGCUCAGAUUGAACGCUGGCGGCAGGCCUAACACAUGCAAGUCGAACGGUAACAGGAAGAAGCUUGCUUCUUUGCUGACGAGUGGCGGACGGGUGAGUAAUGUCUGGGAAACUGCCUGAUGGAGGGGGAUAACUACUGGAAACGGUAGCUAAUACCGCAUAACGUCGCAAGACCAAAGAGGGGGACCUUCGGGCCUCUUGCCAUCGGAUGUGCCCAGAUGGGAUUAGCUAGUAGGUGGGGUAACGGCUCACCUAGGCGACGAUCCCUAGCUGGUCUGAGAGGAUGACCAGCCACACUGGAACUGAGACACGGUCCAGACUCCUACGGGAGGCAGCAGUGGGGAAUAUUGCACAAUGGGCGCAAGCCUGAUGCAGCCAUGCCGCGUGUAUGAAGAAGGCCUUCGGGUUGUAAAGUACUUUCAGCGGGGAGGAAGGGAGUAAAGUUAAUACCUUUGCUCAUUGACGUUACCCGCAGAAGAAGCACCGGCUAACUCCGUGCCAGCAGCCGCGGUAAUACGGAGGGUGCAAGCGUUAAUCGGAAUUACUGGGCGUAAAGCGCACGCAGGCGGUUUGUUAAGUCAGAUGUGAAAUCCCCGGGCUCAACCUGGGAACUGCAUCUGAUACUGGCAAGCUUGAGUCUCGUAGAGGGGGGUAGAAUUCCAGGUGUAGCGGUGAAAUGCGUAGAGAUCUGGAGGAAUACCGGUGGCGAAGGCGGCCCCCUGGACGAAGACUGACGCUCAGGUGCGAAAGCGUGGGGAGCAAACAGGAUUAGAUACCCUGGUAGUCCACGCCGUAAACGAUGUCGACUUGGAGGUUGUGCCCUUGAGGCGUGGCUUCCGGAGCUAACGCGUUAAGUCGACCGCCUGGGGAGUACGGCCGCAAGGUUAAAACUCAAAUGAAUUGACGGGGGCCCGCACAAGCGGUGGAGCAUGUGGUUUAAUUCGAUGCAACGCGAAGAACCUUACCUGGUCUUGACAUCCACGGAAGUUUUCAGAGAUGAGAAUGUGCCUUCGGGAACCGUGAGACAGGUGCUGCAUGGCUGUCGUCAGCUCGUGUUGUGAAAUGUUGGGUUAAGUCCCGCAACGAGCGCAACCCUUAUCCUUUGUUGCCAGCGGUCCGGCCGGGAACUCAAAGGAGACUGCCAGUGAUAAACUGGAGGAAGGUGGGGGAUGACGUCAAGUCAUCAUGGCCCUUACGACCAGGGCUACACACGUGCUACAAUGGCGCAUACAAAGAGAAGCGACCUCGCGAGAGCAAGCGGACCUCAUAAAGUGCGUCGUAGUCCGGAUUGGAGUCUGCAACUCGACUCCAUGAAGUCGGAAUCGCUAGUAAUCGUGGAUCAGAAUGCCACGGUGAAUACGUUCCCGGGCCUUGUACACACCGCCCGUCACACCAUGGGAGUGGGUUGCAAAAGAAGUAGGUAGCUUAACCUUCGGGAGGGCGCUUACCACUUUGUGAUUCAUGACUGGGGUGAAGUCGUAACAAGGUAACCGUAGGGGAACCUGCGGUUGGAUCACCU